GGGUUCGAUUCCGGAGAGGGAGCCUGAGAAACGGCUACCACAUCCAAGGAAGGCAGCAGGCGCGCAAAUUACCCAAUCCCGACACGGGGAGGUAGUGACAAUAAAUAACAACACAGGGCUCUUUUGGGUCUUGUUAUUGGAAUGAGUACGAUUUAAAUCUCCUAACGAGGAACAAUUGGAGGGCAAGUCUGGUGCCAGCAGCCGCGGUAAUUCCAGCUCCAAUAGCGUAUAUUAAAGUUGUUGCAGUUAAAAAGCUCGUAGUUGAAUUUCAGGCCUGGCUGGACGGUCCGCCCUUCGGGUGAGUACUGUCUGUGGUCGGGUCCUACCUUCUGGCGAAGCGUCAUGGCCUUAACCGGCCGUGGCGGGGAACCAGGACUUUUACUGUGAAAAAAUUAGAGUGUUCAAAGCAGGCAAUCGCUUGGAUACAUUAGCAUGGAAUAAUGGAAUAGGACAAUGGUUCUAUUUGUUGGUUUCUAGGACCGUUGUAAUGAUUAAUAGGGAUAGUUGGGGGCAUUAGUAUUCAAUUGUCAGAGGUGAAAUUCUUGGAUUUAUUGAAGACUAACUACUGCGAAAGCAUUUGCCAAGGAUGUUUUCAUUAAUCAAGAACGAAAGUUAGGGGAUCGAAGACGAUCAGAUACCGUCGUAGUCUUAACCAUAAACUAUGCCGACUAGGAAUCGGGCGAUGUUGAAAAAAU
rnacentral:rRNA from 1 species